rnacentral:ncRNA from 2 species
AAAACGAAAGGCAAUGAAGUCUGCCUGAAACGCCCUCACGUUCUGGGAUGAUGACUUCUACUCACGC